GGCUCAGAACGAACGCUGGCGGCGUGCUUAACACAUGCAAGUCGAACGAAGCGACUUAUUACGAUCCUUCGGGGUGACGAUUGUUGACUGAGUGGCAGACGGGUGAGUAACGCGUGGGUAACCUGCCUUGUACAGGGGGACAACAGUUGGAAACGACUGCUAAUACCGCAUAAGCGCACAGCUUCGCAUGAAGCAGUGUGAAAAGUAUUUUCGGUACAAGAUGGACCCGCGUCUGAUUAGCUAGUUGGUGAGGUAACGGCCCACCAAGGCGACGAUCAGUAGCCGACCUGAGAGGGUGACCGGCCACAUUGGGACUGAGACACGGCCCAAACUCCUACGGGAGGCAGCAGUGGGGAAUAUUGCACAAUGGGCGAAAGCCUGAUGCAGCGACGCCCGCGUGAGCGAAGAAGUAUUUCGGUAUGUAAAGCUCUAUCAGCAGGGAAGAUAAUGACGGUACCUGACUAAGAAGCACCGGCUAAAUACGUGCCAGCAGCUGC
rnacentral:rRNA from 1 species